GUUCGCAUUGAUGUGCCAUCCUGGAUGAACUGCACUACCUGAGCCACUUGUGUGGGUUGUAGACUCCGUCUCAUGCUACCACUAGAGUGAGAGCACCGCCAGCAUUCAAAAGUGACCAAAACAUCAGCCAGGAAGCAUAGGAACUGAGAAGUGGUCUGUGGUCACCACCUGCAGAAUCACUCCUGUUUUGGGGGGUGUCUUGCUAAUUGCCUAUAAUUUCCACCUUUUGUCUAUUCCAUUUGCACAACAGCAUGUGAAAUUUAUUGUCAAUCAGUGUUGCUUCCUAAGUGGACAGUUUGAUUUCACAGAAGUGUGAUUGACUUGGAGUUACAUUGUGUUGUUUAAGUGUUCCCUUUAUUUUUUUGAGCAGUGUUUUUUGUGUAUGUAAUGUAAGUGCCUUAAUGUGUUUGACCCCAGGAAGAAUAGCUGCUGCCUUGGGGGUCCCUAAUAAAUACAAAUAAUCAUCGCUAAAACAAAAGCAAUUUAGAUCAAAAUAGUUAAUAUUAACAAAAGAACUAGAAGGUCAAACAGUGCAAAUAGAUAGCAAUAAAAACGGUACCAUAGAGGCCCAUAAUAAGUUAGAGGUAAAACUAAAAUAAAUGAAGGAUCUUAUUCAAGGAAGACAAAGGUUAAUAUAUUUUAACAAUAAAGUGAACUAGAUGGACUAUGGGAAAAAAUGCACCAAACUAUUUUUUAAUCUUAAGCAUAGAAAUGCUACCAAAAAGGUUUAGCUGAAACUUUUUACAAAUGACAGUCACCCAUGAUUCACCAAACAAUAUUUUGAAAGAGGACGCAAAGUACUUUAAGCAUAUGUUUUUGUUUCAGUCUCCUCCAUCUCCACUAACCAAAGUUAAUUCUAUGGAUUUUUUUAUUUUAAUCAUGUAGAAUUAACAGCUGUACAGAAUGACUCAUGUGAAAGCAAAAUUACAGAGGAGGAACUUUUUAAUGCAAUUAAAGCCUUUAAGGCUGGGAUGAAUGGCAUACCAGUUUUUGAUGUACUCAGAGAACCGUUAUUAGCAUAUUUUAACCAAUCCUAUAAAAAUGGUAGAUUAUCAGAUACUCAACAAGAAGGUCUGAUUUCAUUACUACUGAAACAGGAUCCAAGUGGUAAAUAAACUCAGCAAAAAAAGAAACGUCCUCUUACUGUCAACUGCGUUUAUUUUCAGCAAACUGAACAUGUGUAAAUAUUUGUAUGAACAUAACAAGAUCCAACAACUGAGACAUAAACUGAACAAGUUCCACAGACAUGUGACUAACAGAAAUGGAAUAAUGUGUCCCUGAACAAAGGGAGGGUCCAAAUCUAAAGUAACAGUCAGUAUCGGGUGUGGCCACCAGCUGCAUUAAGUACUGCAGUGCAUCUCCUCAUGGACUGUACCAGAUUUGCCAGUGCUUGCUGUGAGAUGUUACCCCACUCUUCCACCAAGGCACCUGCAAGUUCCCGGACAUUUAUGGGGGAAUGGCACUAGCCCUCACCCUCAGAUCCAACAGGUCCCAGACGUGCUCAAUGGGAUUGAGAUCCGGGCUCUUCGCUGGCCAUGGCAGAACACUGACAUUCCUGUCUUGCAGGCAAUCAUGCACAGAACAUGCAGUAUGGCUGGUGGCAUUGUCAUGCUGGAGGGUCAUGUCAGGAUGUGCCUGCAGGAAGGGUACCACAUGAGGAGGAUGUCUUCCCUGUAACUCAGCGUGGAGAUUGCCUGCAAUGACAACAAGCUCAGUCCGAUGAUGCUGUGACACACCACCCCAGACCAUGACGGACCCUCCACCUCCAAAUCGAUCCCGCUCCAGAAUACAGUCCUCAGUGUAACGUUCAUUCCUUCGACGAUAAACGCGAAUCCAACCAUCACCUGGUGAGACAAAACCGCCACUCGUCAGUGAAGAGCACUUUUUUGCCAGUCCUGUCUGGUUCAGCGACGGUAGGUUAGUGCCCAUCGGCGACGUUGUUGCCGGUGAUGUCUAGUGAGGACCUGCCUUACAACAGGCCUACAAGCCCUCUGUCCAGCCUCUCUCAGCCUAUUGCGGACAGUGUGUUCCUGGUGUAACUAGGGCAGUUGUUGUUGCCAUCCUGUACCUGUCCCGCAGGUGUGAUGUUCGGAUGUACCGAUCCUGUGCAGGUGUUGUUUCACAUGGUCUGCCACUGCGAGGACGAUCAGCUGUCCGUCCUGUCUCCCUGUAGCGCUGUCUUAGGCGUCUCACAGUACGGACAUUUGCUGUCCUCAAGUCUCCUUACAGCAUGCCUAAGGCACGUUUACGCAAAUGAGCAGGGGCAUCUUUCUUUUGGGUUUUUUCAGAGUCAGUAGAAAGGCCUCUUUAGUGUCCUACGUUUUCAUAACUGUGACCUUAAUUGCCUACCAUCUGUAAGCUGUUAGUGUCUUAACGACCGUUCCACAGGUGCAUGUUCAUUAAUUAUUUAUGGUUCAUUGAACAAGCAUGGGAAACAGUGUUUAAACCCUUUACAAUGAAGAUCUGUGAAGUUAUAUAGAUUUUUAUGAAUUAUCAUUGAAAGACAGGUUCCUGAAAAAGGGAUGUUUAUUUUUUUGCUGAGUUUAUAAAGAUAAAAAUUGUAGGCCCUUUACACUUCAGUGUUGUAAUGCAAACAUUUGGGCAAAAUGCAUAGCGCAUAGAAUGAAAAGGUAUUGUUGAAUAUUAUUCAUCCUAAUCAGACAGUUGUUUUACCUGGACAAUACAUUGGAAAUAAUAUAAGACAAGUACUGGAAACAAUAGAACACUAUGAAAAAUCUGGGAAACCAGGCCUGGUAUUCAUAACUGACUUUGAAAAGGCUUUUGAUAAAGUAUGACUGGAAUUUAUUUAUAAAUGCCUGGAAUAUUUCAAUUUUGGAGAAUCUCUUAUACAAUGAGUUAAAGUUAUGUAUACUGUAGUAACCCUAGGUGUAAAAUAUUAAAUAAUGGUUACUUCUCAGAAAGUAUUACACUGUCGAGAGGAGUAAAAUAAGGUUGUCCACUAUCGGCAAAUCUAUUUGUUAUGACCUUCCAAAUGUUAGCCGUUAAAGAUCUAACUAUAAUAUCAAGAGUCUAGAAACCCAGCGCCUAAAAACAAGGUGUCAUUAUAUGCUGAUGAUUCAUGUUUUCUUUCAAAUCCACAAUUUGGAUCCUCCCAUAGCCUCAGAGGAUCUAGAUACUUUUUCUAACGUCUCUGGAUUACAACCAAAUUAUGGUGAAUGUACUAUAUUACGUAUUGGAUUUUAAAAAGUACAACUUUUACAUUGACGUGUAGUUUACCAAUCAAACGGUCUGACGGUAAUGUGGAUAUACUCGGUAUUCAUACCCCGAAAGAAAGAAAUUAUCUGACUACAAUACAUUUUAACAGAAAGUUGGCAAAAAUAGAUGAGGUCUUGCUACCAUGGAGAGGAAAAUACCCAUAUAUUUGUGGAAAAAUCACCCUGAUUAACUCUUUAGUCACAUCCCAGUUUACCUAUUUGCUUAUGGCCUUGCCUACGCCAAAAAAUAUAGAAUUUUAUUUGGAACGGCAAGCCAGACAAAAUUAAACUGGCCUAUUCAUAUAAUAAAUAAUUUCUGCUCUUUAAUUGCUUGUUACUUUUAUUUCUUAUUCUUAUUCAUAUUUUUUACAACUGCAUUGUUGGUUAGGGGCUCGUAAGUAAGCAUUUCACUGUAAGGUCUACACCUGUUGUAUUCAGCAUUUCACUGUAAGGUCUACACCUGUUGUAUUCAGCAUUUCACUGUAAGGUCUACACCUGUUGUAUUCAGCAUUUCACUGUAAGGUCUACACCUGUUGUAUUCAGCAUUUCACUGUAAGGUCUACACCUGUUGUAUUCAGCAUUUCACUGUAAGGUCUACACCUGUUGUAUUCAGCAUUUCACUGUAAGGUCUACACCUGUUGUAUUCAGCAUUUCACUGUAAGGUCUACACCUGUUGUAUUCAGCAUUUCACUGUAAGGUCUACACCUGUUGUAUUCAGCAUUUCACUGUAAAGUCUACACCUGUUGUAUUCAGCAUUUCACUGUAAGGUCUACACCUGUUGUAUUCAGCAUUUCACUGUAAGGUCUACACCUGUUGUAUUCAGCAUUUCACUGUAAGGUCUACACCUGUUGUAUUCAGCAUUUCACUGUAAGGUCUACACCUGUUGUAUUCAGCAUUUCACUGUAAGGUCUACACCUGUUGUAUUCAGCAUUUCACUGUAAGGUCUACACCUGUUGUAUUCAGCAUUUCACUGUAAGGUCUACACCUGUUGUAUUCAGCAUUUCACUGUAAGGUCUACACCUGUUGUAUUCAGCAUUUCACUGUAAGGUCUACACCUGUUGUAUUCAGCAUUUCACUGUAAAGUCUACACCUGUUGUAUUCAGCAUUUCACUGUAAGGUCUACACCUGUUGUAUUCAGCAUUUCACUGUAAGGUCUACACCUGUUGUAUUCAGCAUUUCACUGUAAGGUCUACACCUGUUGUAUUCAGCAUUUCACUGUAAGGUCUACACCUGUUGUAUUCAGCAUUUCACUGUAAGGUCUACACCUGUUGUAUUCAGCAUUUCACUGUAAGGUCUACACCUGUUGUAUUCAGCAUUUCACUGUAAGGUCUACACCUGUUGUAUUCAGCAUUUCACUGUAAAGUCUACACCUGUUGUAUUCAGCAUUUCACUGUAAGGUCUACACCUGUUGUAUUCAGCAUUUCACUGUAAGGUCUACACCUGUUGUAUUCAGCAUUUCACUGUAAGGUCUACACCUGUUGUAUUCAGCAUUUCACUGUAAGGUCUACUACACCUGUUGUAUUCAGCAUGUCACUAAGGUCUACACCUGUUGUAUUCAGCAUUUCACUGUAAAGUCUACACCUGUUGUAUUCAGCAUUUCACUGUAAAGUCGACACCUGUUGUAUUCAGCAUUUCACUGUAAGGUCUACACCUGUUGUAUUCAGCAUUUCACUGUAAGGUCUACACCUGUUGUAUUCGGCGCAUGUGACUGAUACAAUUUGAUUUGAUUUGAAUUCAGAGGGCAGAAAUUAUUAAAUGUUAAGCAUUAGACCUCUCACGAAAUAUGUCAGUCAUACAAAAGUUAAACUUAAAUCCAAACUGGUUCUCUAACAGGUUAUUAAGAAUGUCUCACCCCUUUUUCAAGAAUGGCUUUUUUCCCCAUUAUUUAGAUUACCCCCUCUCACUUUGUUUAACCAAUGUACAAAAUACCACUAUUUUUUAAAACAAGCCAUAGAAUGUUGGUUGCAAUUUCAGUUUAAUCCACCAAAAAAGACAAAACAAAUAAUAGAACAAAUAUUAGUGAAAUUCAAAAAUACUAAUUGAUAAAAAAAAAUAUAUAUAAUCUUUGUAAAUUAUAUCAUAAAUAGGACUGGUGGAGGAGUUGUCACACAUGCUGCUAACAAAAAUAUAUGGAAAUAUCUGCUCUACCAAAAUUACCACCAACUCAUUGCAGCAUUACCGCAAAAAUGGAAAAGGCAAGUGGAAGAGGGAAAAAGUAAGGAACUUGUCUGUCGACCCUGCAUUAAAGAUCUAAAUUGGUUAAAGAAAAUUGUGAUGAAUAAAAAAGUAUACCAGUUUCAAUUAAGGACUAAAAAUUCACAGCUGUGCCAUCUAGUUUGUAAAAUAGUUGGGAAUGGAUUUUCGAUGUACAAGUUCCAUGGCACAUGAUUUAUGAGCUGAUACACAAAAUGAAGCCAGAUUCAGCUCUACAGACUUUUCUGCAAAGAGACAGAAUCAUUAGAAUUUGUUUUGGUACUGUCCAUAUGUAGCUUGUUUUUGGUCGCAGGUUCAGGUAUGGCUGAAGAAUUGCAACAUUUACCUGGAGCUAACUAGCAAAUAGCACUGCUGGGUGAUUUGAAAAGUCCUAGUCAAUCGAUCAAUAGUAUAAUAAUACUUUUAGCAAAAAGGUUUAUCUUUAAUUUAAAAUCUGUAGAAACUAUGAGAACAGAAAGGUUCAGAACUUUUGUGAAACCUCACAGCAAAGUUGAAAAAUAUAUGGCAAAUAGAAAUCAAAACUGGAUGGUCUUUAGAGAUAGAUGGAAGGGGUUGAGUGUAGCUGAAGGAUGGGACUUCAAAAGAUAACUAAUGUAAAAUAUAGUGUGUCCGUAAAAUGUAUAUAGUAUGUACUGUAUAAGCUGGAAGUAGAAGCCUAAGUGUUGUACAUUUACUCCAAUUAGGGGAGGGGUAGUAGGGUUAGGGGAACAUAAUACAGGAAAAUGUAUAUAAACCUUCUUGUGCAUGUGCAGCAUCUCCUCUCCACGACCCCACACAUAUGACUCAAGUUCACAGACAAAAUAAAAACAAUUUUAGACAAAAGAAACAUUUGUUGAAAGCAUUGUUUACUAAUGGGGAAUGCAGUCAGAGUGUAACGUUCGUCUGGUGGUGUAUGAACGGACCAAGGCGCAGCGGGUGAUGAAUACAUAACUAUUUAUUUCAAAACAGACGAAACACUGACAAAACACUAGAACAAACUACAAAACAAUAAACGAAGUCAACAGACCUGAAACAACCGAACUUACAUAUAGACGAAGGACGCAAGAACAGGAACAGACUACCUAAAACGAACAAACGAAACAGUCCCAUGUGGAUUACACAGACACAGGAACAAUCACCCACAAACAAACAGUGAGAACACCCUACCUUAAUAUGACUCUCAAUUAGAGGAAAACGCAAAACACCUGCCUCUAAUCAAGAGCCAUACCAGACAACCCAAAACCAACAUAGAAACGGAAAACAUAGACUGCCCACCCAAAACUCACGCCCUGACCAUCACACACAUAAAAAACACCAGAAAACAGGUCAGGAACGUGACACAGAGGCUGUAAAGGUGCAGUAGCUGAUCAUCUCCCUAGUUCUCUCUUUGCUGAAUCUAUGAGUUCACGAUUCAGUGCCCAGCAGGUCAUAGAUCUGAUUUCUACAGAUGUCCAGGAGGAACAAGAGAACAAUGAUUUAGAAGAGGAGGAGGUAUCUGAAGAAGAAGAUGGGGAAGAAUACAACCCAGAGCAUGAUGCAUCAUCUCCAGAUGAAGAAGAAAUCGCCCAAACUGAAAGAGAGACAUUUUUGUCAAAGAAAAGCAAAAUAACAUGGUCCUUGUCACCAUAUGACAACCAGGGCAGGAUGGCAGCACAAAAUGUCAUAAGGAUAACCCCAAGGCCCACAAGACAUGCAGUUGCCCACGCCCAGGACAUCGCCUCAACAUUCUACAUGUUCAUCACACCAGCCAUCGGAAAAAUCAUCCUGGAAAUGACAAAUUUGGAGGGUUUCCGUAAAUAUGGAGACAACUGGAAAAGGAUGGAUGAGAUUGACCUGCGUGCCUACAUAUGGCUGCUAAUCUUAGCGGGUGUGUAUAGGUCCCGAGGUGAGGCUACAUGUAGUCUCUGGGAUGCUGAGAGUGGAAGGGUGAUUUUCAGUGUCAUGAUGCCACUGAAAGUCUUUCACACUUUCUCAAGAAUGCUAUGAUUUGAUAACCCUGAGUCAAGACCUGCAAGACGUGUGAGAGACAAACUGGCGGCCAUAAGAAAGGUCUGGGAGAAGUGGGUGGAGCGUCUGCCAUACCUCUACAACCCUGGGCCUGAAGUAACAGUGGAUGAGCAACUGGUUCCAUUCAGAGGUCGCUGUCCAUUCCAGCAGUAUAUGCCCAGCAAGCCAGCAAAGUGUGGCAUCAAGAUAUGGGUGGCUUGUGACGCACAAUCCAGCUACGCUUGGAAGAUGCAAGUCUACACAGGGAAGCCGACCAGUGGAGGCCCGGAGAAGAACCAGGGGAUGCGGGUUGUGCUUGAUGUGACAGAUGGACUGAGGGGGCACAAUGUCACGUGUGACAAUUUCUUCAACUCUCAUGAACUCAACCAGCAGCACCUGAAGAGGAAGAUCACCAUGGUUGGCACAGUUAGAAAGAACAAGCCUGAGCACACUGCACAAAACGGCUGAGAUCAGUGAUUGUGAAGACAGGAAGCCAGCCAUCAUCCUGGACUACAACCACAACAAAGGAGGCGUGGACAACCUGGACAAGGUGAUUGGAACUCACAGCUGCAGGAGGAUGACUGCCCGCUGGCCCCUUGUCAUCUUCCAUAACAUCAUUUAUGUGUCCUCAUACAAUGCCUUUGUGAUAUGGAAGAAGAUCAACCCUACCUGGAAGCCUGAUAAGCGGAAACAAGAGGAGGAUGUUCCUGGAGCAGCUGGGAAAGGCACUUGUAACCCCACAUAUUCAAAGAAGGGAGCACCUCCUCUGCACAGCAGCCUCUGCCGCGCUUGUGAAAGCUGUUCAUGGGGCUGAAUCUUGUCCUGAUCCACCUGAGGCUACAGCUGCGACAGGCACGUGGAGGAGAUGCCAAUUCUGCACCCCAAAAAAGGACUGUAAAACAAAUACUAUGUGCUGCACAUGUGAGAAAUACAUCUGCAAAGUCCAUGCACACACACUUGCAUACUGUCCUACAUGUGCUAAUUAGAGUUGAUUGAUUCAUGUUCUUCACGUUUUUGUUUUGUAUCUAUUAUCUUAUUUUAUUCAUUGUUGUUGUUUAUACACCUUGUGGGAGGGGGAAAUGGUUUAAAAAAUGGGAGAAGACUAUGAUUUUGUAGUUGAAUUCCUCAUUGUACAGUAUAUAAGAAUACAUCACUAUGUUGCCAAAAAAGUUCAAGACUUAUUGUUUCCCUUCAAUAAAAUGCAUUCAAA